GAUGAACGCUGGCGGCGUGCCUAAUACAUGCAAGUCGAGCGAACGGACGAGAAGAUUGCUUCUCUGAUGUUAGCGGCGGACGGGUGAGUAACACGUGGAUAACCUACCUAUAAGACUGGGAUAACUUCGGGAAACCGGAGCUAAUACCGGAUAAUAGUUUGAACCGCAUGGUUCAAAAGUGAAAGACGGUCUUGCUGUCACUUAUAGAUGGAUCCGCGCUGCAUUAGCUAGUUGGUAAGGUAACGGCUUACCAAGGCAACGAUGCAUAGCCGACCUGAGAGGGUGAUCGGCCACACUGGAACUGAGACACGGUCCAGACUCCUACGGGAGGCAGCAGUAGGGAAUCUUCCGCAAUGGGCGAAAGCCUGACGGAGCAACGCCGCGUGAGUGAUGAAGGUCUUCGGAUCGUAAAACUCUGUUAUUAGGGAAGAACAUAUGUGUAAGUAACUGUGCACAUCUUGACGGUACCUAAUCAGAAAGCCACGGCUAACUACGUG
rnacentral:rRNA from 1 species